AUCCAACUGACGAGUACUAGAUAGGACGAAACGCGCGUCAAGCUGGAU
rnacentral:hammerhead_ribozyme from 1 species